rnacentral:rRNA from 1 species
UCUGUCAGGAGUUAAGAAAAUGUAAGUGUGCUAAUACCACAUUUAUUUGACGAAGGCUCCAAAGGAAGCCACGGCUAACUCUGUGCCAGCAGCCGCGGUAAUACAGAGGUGGCAAGCGUUGUUCGGAAUUAUUGGGCGUAAAGAGCACGUAGGUGGGUUUGUAAGUCAGAUGUGAAAGCCUUCUGUUCAACGGAAGAAUUGCAUCUGAAACUGCGAGUCUUGAGUGUAGGAGGGGAGAAUGGAACUUCUGGUGGAGCGGUGAAAUGCGUAGAUAUCAGAAGGAACGCCGGCGGCGAAAGCGAUUCUCUGGCCUAUUACUGACGCUCAGUGUGCGAAAGCUAGGGGAGCAAACGGGAUUAGAUACCCCGGUAGUCCUAGCCGUAAACGAUGGGCACUAAGUAGAGGGAAUUACCGAUGUUCUCUCUGCCGUAGCUAACGCAUUAAGUGCCCCGCCUGGGGAGUACGGCCGCAAGGCUAAAACUCAAAAGAAUUGACGGGGGCUCGCACAAGCGGUGGAGCAUGUGGCUUAAUUCGAUGCAACGCGAAGAACCUUACCGGGGCUUGACAUGGUAGAAGUAGGAACCCGAAAGGGUAACGAACGGUAUCCAGUCCGUAACUAUCACAGGUGUUGCAUGGCUGUCGUCAGCUCGUGUCGUGAGACGUUGGGUUAAGUCCCCUAACGAGCGAAACCCUUGUUUUUAGUUACCAGCGGGUUGUGCCGGGUACUCUAGAAAGACUGCCGUCGUCAAGACGGAGGAAGGUGGGGAUGACGUCAAGUCAUCAUGGCCCUUAUGCCCCGGGCUGCACACGUGCUACAAUGGUCGGUACAAACGGAAGCGAAGCCGAGAGGUGAAGCGAAUCCUAAAAAGCCGAUCUCAGUUCGGAUUGGAGGCUGAAAUUCGCUCCA